GAUACGAUAUCUACACAAAAAAAAUAUUGAAUACUCAACCUUUUAAAAAAAAUCAAAACUUUCAACAACGGAUCUCUUGGUUCUCGCAUCGAUGAAGAACGCAGCGAAUUGCGAUACGUAGUAUGACUUGCAGACGUGAAUCAUCGAAUCUUUGAACGCACAUUGCGCCUCGAGGUAUUCCUCGAGGCAUGCCUGUUUGAGCGUCGGCCCCCCUCUAACCCUCGGGUUAGGCGUUGACACGAAAUUUCAAGCAACAUCAAUCUCAUGUUUUUGAUGACUGCCCAAAACUUUCGCCCUCAAAUCAGGUAGGACUACCCGCUGAACUUAAGCAUAUCAA
rnacentral:misc_RNA from 1 species